rnacentral:rRNA from 1 species
UACGGAGGGAGCUACCGUUGUUCGGAAUUACUGGGCAUAAAGCGCACGUAGGCGGUUCGUUAAGUCAUGUGUGAAAUCCCCGGGCUCAACCUGGGAACUGCAUUUGUGACUGUAGAGCUGGAGUGCGGCAGAGGGGGAUGGAAUUCCGCGUGUAGCAGUGAAAUGCGUAGAUAUGCGGAGGAACACCGAUGGCGAAGGCAAUCCCCUGGGCCUGCACUGACGCUCAUGCACGAAAGCGUGGGGAGCAAACAGG